CACGUAGGGCGCAAGCGUUGUCCGGAAUUAUUGGGCGUAAAGAGCUCGUAGGCGGUCUGUUGCGUCCGCUGUGAAAACUCGGGGCUUAACCCCGAGCCUGCAGUGGAUACGGGCAGACUAGAGGUAGGUAGGGGAGAAUGGAAUUCCCGGUGUAGCGGUGAAAUGCGCAGAUAUCGGGAGGAACACCGGUGGCGAAGGCGGCGCUCUGGGCCGGUACUGACACUGAGGAGCGAAAGCGUGGGUAGCAAACAGG
rnacentral:rRNA from 1 species